GACGAACGCUGGCGGCGUGCUUAACACAUGCAAGUCGAACGGAGUUUACAGGCGGAAGCCUUCGGGUGGAAGGCUGUAAACUGAGUGGCGGACGGGUGAGUAACGCGUGAGCAAUUUGCCCUUUGGAGGGGAAUAACAGCCGGAAACGGUUGCUAAUACCGCAUAAGACACGUUGGAGGCAUCUCCGGGGUGUGAAAGGAGAAAUCCGCCAAAGGAUGAGCUCGCGUCCCAUUAGGUAGUUGGUGAGGUAACGGCUCACCAAGCCGACGAUGGGUAGCCGGACUGAGAGGUUGGCCGGCCACGACUGGAACUGAGACACGGUCCAGACUCCUACGGGAGGCAGCAGUGGGGAAUAUUGGGCAAUGGGGGAAACCCUGACCCAGCAACGCCGCGUGAGGGAAGAAGGGUUUUCGGAUUGUAAACCUCUGUCCUAUGGGAAGAAGAAAGUGACGGUACC
rnacentral:rRNA from 1 species